GAAGUUCUUUCUCAGAGGAUCUCUGAUCUCGCUCGAACUCACCUGAUUGUCACGAAGGAUUCAGUGUAACGGUACCUUCGCUUGAUCGGGUCAAAACAACCUUCCGACUCGGAAGCAAUGAGAAGAUCAGAUCCUAAAUCAGUCACCAACACUUGACAAAUCUGCCGCUUGAACGAGACGGUCAGAUUGCACUUUGGUAAAUAUGCUAAUACGCUCCAUAUGAUGGACUGAUGCACGAGAAUACGCUGUUAGUAAAGUAUACCUUGACAUCGAAACUAAGCUCAGAGUGACAUUGAUACAGGAUGCCGCCCUUCUAAUUCGGCUCCAUGUGGCCCUUUAGCAGCAAAGGAUCGAAAGGCAGGCUCACCGAGGAACAUCAGCAGAAGAUCCGUAAAAAUUGCAAGUCCCUCUUGUCAGCAUAUGCUGCCUGCUCCAAGAUAUACCCGAACGACCCUUCCAGGUGUGAGAGGCUGGAGACCAGGGUGGUAGAGUGCUAUGCCAGUCAGUGUCCUGGCUGUCAACCUCAAGUGGAGGCUUUCCAGAAGUGCUUGCUGGGCACUGGAGCAAUGGUGGGCGGUAUUGCGGGAAACGAGUGCACAAAGCAAGCGGAAGAUAUGCGGAAAUGCUUGACAAAGCUGCACCUGUCUCCCAUCAAGUGACGCAGUGCAGCUGCAUCCCAUCGGGAGAGCAUUUGAUUGGUCUCUCACU
rnacentral:lncRNA from 1 species